GGGCGAGUGGUGGAAUUGGUAGACACGCUAGUCUUAGGAACUAGUGCCGCAAGGCGUGAAGGUUCAAGUCCUUUCUCGCCCACCA
rnacentral:tRNA from 1 species